AUAGCGUAUAUUUAAGUUGUUGCAGUUAAAAAGCUCGUAGUUGAACCUUGGGCCUGGCUGGCCGGUCCGCCUCACCGCGUGUACUGGUCCGGCCGGGCCUUUCCUUCUGGAGACCCCCAUGCCCUUUACUGGGUGUGCGGGGGAACCAGGACUUUUACUGUGAAAAAAUUAGAGUGUUCAAAGCAGGCCUUUGCUCGAAUACGUUAGCAUGGAAUAAUAAAAUAGGACGUGCGGUUUUUUUUGUUUGGUUUCUAGGGCCGCCGUAAUGAUUAAUAGGGAUAGUCGGGGGCAUCAGUAUUCAAUUGUCAGAGGUGAAAUUCUUGGAUUUAUUGAAGACUAACUACUG
rnacentral:rRNA from 1 species